AUUCCAGCUCCAAUAGCGUAUAUUAAAGCUGUUGCAGUUAAAAAGCUCGUAGUUGAACUUUGGGCCUGGCAGGCCGGUCCGCUUUUUGGCGAGUACUGACCCUGCCGGGCCUUUCCUUCUGGCUAACCUCCCCUCUGGAGAGGCGAACCAGGACUUUUACUUUGAAAAAAUUAGAGUGUUCGAAGCAGGCCUUUGCUCGAAUAUAUUAGCAUGGAAUAAUAGAAUAGGACGUUUGGUUCUAUUUUGUUGGUUUCUAGGACCAUCGUAAUGAUUAAUAGGGACGGUCGGGGGCAUCAGUAUUCAGUUGUCAGAGGUGAAAUUCUUGGAUUUACUGAAGACUAACUACUGCGAAAGCAAGUGCCAAGGACGUUUUCAUCA
rnacentral:rRNA from 1 species